GGGAGAUACAUUUCCAUGAACUGCGAGAGGAAAAGCCAAAGAGGUGGAUGCUGCUCUGGAGUACAGAGAACAGACACAGACUUGCCACCAUGAACGCUUGCAGCAAGUUCCAAGUGAGUGACUUGGCAGUGCCUAGGACCCAUGAUCCUGUAGAAAGACACCGGGAUGUUCUCACACACCGACGAAUGUUACAGAGGCAUAGAAAAUAUUCGAAGAGAAUAGAAUAAUGAAGAAAUGACGUGUGUACCAACUUCAGAUUUCUUCCGGGCCAUCAAAAGCACAAGCUGUAAUUGUACGACAGAAGGUGAUGGGUGAAAUGCCAACCCUAAUUAGAGCCUGAUUGCUCUGUAAUGAAAACCCUGCCUUUGAUUUGGACAGCUCAGUUGUCAGGUGGAAGGAAUCAACAGAGACUGCGCUCUCAUUUCAGAAUGUGAGA
rnacentral:lncRNA from 1 species